CCCACAGUUAAGAACCAUGGGACCCAGUGUCACUUAACUGAGGGAGCAGCAAAGAAAGAGGAAGUAGUAUACUGGACACUGCCUAUUAUGCUAUAAAGAGGAUGCUGAUUGGCUGUUGCUAGGAAGAUAUACCUCAUGUUAUUUACUGGUUUCUUUUAUACUGAUUUAAUGUUAUUUUUCUUUGCUGCUGAGGUAAAUAAAGAAAGAGUGCAGCAUAAUAGGAGCCUCCGUGUUUUAAUAAAAUCACUGGAGCAUGGCCAUUGUGGGUGUGUCAUUACUGAUUUUCUUAGAGAAUCACUGGAGCAUGGCCAUUGGUGGAUAGUCCAGCAGAAAUACAGGAAGUAGGGAAAAAUCAAAGUGGGAAAUUACAUUAAAUCAGGAGGAGCAGACGAUCAAAG